rnacentral:lncRNA from 1 species
CUAGGCGCAGCCCACCUCCCUUUUAAAAAUGUUUCCCUUUAUGAAUAAAAGCACAGGCGUGGGAGAUGAGGGCAGCCCCACGUCAGCCCUCUAGCAUUUCAUUCAGGGCUGGGAAGCCGAUGGCCGAAUUUAUUAAUGAAGUUAAUCGUGAUAACCAUCCUUCUCCUGGUAGCUCCUGUGGAUGAACACCAGUUUAUACCAGGCUGUAGAGAAGUGAGCUGGCGGUUCCUGGGAACCAGGCAGGAGGCACAUACUCAGGUGAGCUGUGGCAUGAGCUGUGCCCUGAGGAGGGACCACCCUUCUGCUGUGGCUCUCUGUUCUGGGGGCUACAGCUGUCGGCGACAGACGCAGAGCCCAGCGC